UCUCAACUGUCCAUUUCUUGUUGUCAGCCAAGGCUUCCAGUGGUGGGACUGGAUCGCAUUCAGUUGAGUUGUUGGCCAAUGGGAUCCCAUGGAAUUCCGUAAACAACACACACUGUUGCUAAGACAAAAUGUUGCUAAACAGACAGUAGGGCUCCAUUGCCAAGGACAACACCCACACAACUCACUGAGUAUGGAGAAGGCAAGCUGGUGACUACAAAACACUCCUGUCAUUCAAGUUUAGCCCUGUCCUCUUGAAGAAAGUAGCCAAAGUUAGGGUCUCACCUGACUCUAACACACCAGCAACAGGUCUAGCACCCAAAGCUUGACUGAGCACUCAGCAAGGAUGCAAGCUUCUGGAAAGGAUAUCCACGGAAGCCCCCUGAGGUGAACAGAGAUGGCAAAGACUGCAGCCAGCUCAGACCGUGUGCAGAUCUGGUAGAGCCGCAGAAAUGGCAUUGGAGACUUCCACUGGCGACAUGAGAUGCUUGCUGCCCUUCUCUAUGAUGUCACGAUGACACUCUUCCUGUGACUGCCACAGGGACCACAGAACAAAGAGACCCCGAGGUUUCCCACAGCUAGCUACAGGGGUCAACCAUGCUGGAGCACAGCAGCCAU